GACGAACGCUGGCGGCGUGCUUAACACAUGCCAGUCGAACGGAAAGGCCCUGCUUUUGUGGGGUGCUCGAGUGGCGAACGGGUGAGUAACACGUGAGUAACCUGCCCUUGACUUUGGGAUAACUUCAGGAAACUGGGGCUAAUACCGGAUAGGAGCUCCUGCUGCAUGGUGGGGGUUGGAAAGUUUCGGCGGUUGGGGAUGGACUCGCGGCUUAUCAGCUUGUUGGUGGGGUAGUGGCUUACCAAGGCUUUGACGGGUAGCCGGCCUGAGAGGGUGACCGGCCACAUGGGGACUGAGAUACGGCCCAGACUCCUACGGGAGGCAGCAGUGGGGAAUAUGGCACAAGGGGCGGAAGCCGGAUGCAGCAACGCCGCGUGCGGGAUGACGGCCUUCGGGUUGGAAACCGCUUUCGCCUGUGACGAAGCGUGAGUGACGGGAAUGGGUAAAGAAGCACAGGCUAACUACGU
rnacentral:rRNA from 1 species